UGAGGAAUAUUGGACAAUGGGCGCAAGCCUGAUCCAGCCAUGCCGCGUGCAGGAUGAAGGCCUUCGGGUUGUAAACUGCUUUUGUACGGAACGAAAAGGUUUGGCCUAAUAAGCUGAGCUCAUGACGGUACCGUAAGAAUAAGCACCGGCUAACUACGUGCCAGCAGCCGCGGUAAUACGUAGGGUGCGAGCGUUAAUCGGAAUUACUGGGCGUAAAGCGUGCGCAGGCGGUUAUGCAAGACAGAUGUGAAAUCCCCGGGCUCAACCUGGGAACUGCAUUUGUGACUGCAUAGCUGGAGUGCGGCAGAGGGGGAUGGAAUUCCGCGUGUAGCAGUGAAAUGCGGAGAUAUGCGGAGGAACACCGAUGGCGAAGGCAAUCCCCUGGGCCUGCACUGACGCUCAUGCACGAAAGCGUGGGGAGCAAACA
rnacentral:rRNA from 1 species